UGAGAGGCUGUUUGCUUUCCCUCAGAGGGACAGGCAGUAGUGACUGCCUCUAACACCCAAGGGUCUCUGUCCCAAGCUCUUUUCCGUGGUCAUUGCUCAGUGUGUAGCUUCCCAAGCAAAGCAGAAAGUGCUUUGACAAGCUGUGCUGUGCAGUGGGCUUUUGUCCAGCUCCUGUUUGUUCCUCUCUGCACCCUCAGCAGGGGAAAUAAGUGUCUGGCUGCAAUCCAUGCUUACAGGUAGGAAGCCAGCUGUCAGCUCCAUGCUUAGGGGUCAGGCUUUGGCCAGCAGGAGGAAAACAUUACUGCAACUUCCUGUGUUUUUGUUGGGCUGCCCUAGAUAGGUUGAGUAAUUCUAGGCUGAGCCCACUCACUGGGGGAAGGAUUGAUUAGGCAGCUGCUGCAAUCUCAUGUCCCUCUGAAUGGAAAUAGGUCAGGGAAAAAAAACCCCACAAUGUCUGUGAAAAUAAAAAUUUCAAGAGCCAUUAGUGCACAAAUAUGGGUGAGAACAGGAGCUGAAACUCAUCCUCUGGUGUGCUUGCAGGUAUUCAGUGUGACUUGGCUUCCUCGUGGGGUAGGUGAAAGGUUCAGGUGAUGUGUGUUUGGGCCACUCUUGUUCUGGUCUGGCUGGGUCUACUCACACCAGUCUCUGACACUGUGCCCAUUGCCCCCUGUGCAGACGUUUGACAAGCAGGGAUUCCAUGCUGGCACCCCACCUCCCUUCAGCCUGCCUUCUGCUCUCGGAUCCACUGGGCCCCUGAACCCUGGUGCUGCCCCAGGUUAUUCAGCCCCGUUUCUCCAUAUCCUCCCUGCACAUCAGCAGCCUCAUUCCCAGAUGCUGCAUCACCACCUUCAGCAGGAUGGGCAGGGUGGAUCUGGCCAACGCAACCAACCCAGCACCAUGCAGCAAAAGUCUCAGGCUACCAAAACCGCCUAUGGCACUUCUCCAUACUGGACAAACUAAACCUGAAACCGGGGAGGGGGGAGAGAAUGAAAGGAGGAAGGAAAAAAAAAAAAAAAGAAAACAAAAGCAAAGGAAAGAGAAGAAAGAAAACAAAAGCUGAAGCCCAUUCUUGGAAUUAUUAGGAAAAGUAACUGCUCAGCCAAACGUCUGUGCGGGGAGAACUGCAGCCAGCCAGCCAUCCUCUGUGUGACUCGCCUGCUUCCUCUUUGAGUUGCUGUUAUAUGUAAUAUAUUUAUGUAUGUAUUUGUAAAUGUAAUAGAGCCUAAAUGUGGUUUUCUGCAUCUUGAAGCCUGUUUUAUUUUCUUUGUAGGAAAACUAAUUAUUCAUUUUCCAUCUGCACCAGGGCAUCAUUCUUUGUUUUGUCAUUUUAAGUUCUGUGGGUUUUGCAACUCUGUCAGACAAAGACAAAUUGCACCCUUUUUUUUUUGGAGCUGGAGCCCAUUUAUUUAAUGCAGUUCUAAAUUCAGACAAAUAAGGAGACCUGCCCUUCCAAAAACCUAAAUCAAGAUGUGUCCUGUUGGUUUGAUUGUAUCCCCCAACCCCCAAUAUAACUGUUAUUUUAGAGGGGGAAAAUAAAAGAAAGAAAAUAAAAAAGCUCUGUGGGCCUUCCCCUUUCUUUCAUUUCCUCCCUCCCACCCUCUUGCUGUGGAAGACAAGCUCUUGUGGGCAGUUUCAUCGCUGUGGCCUUGAGCUGCAGUCUCAACUUUUAAUUUUUCAAUUUUUUAAUAAUAAUAAAAAGGACAGGGUUUUGGUUUUUGUUUGUGCAAAGGUUUUUUGUUGGUGGCGUUUUUCUCUAGCAAGAGACUUUGGAUGGCUCAGUGUGUCCUGGAACCUCCUUGGCAUCAUUAGAGGCAAAAACUAUGUAGCGGUUUCUUAAAUUAAAGUAUAAGCUGUGUCUUGUACCUCUUUUUACCCUGAGCCACCUUCCCACGAAAGCCAGAGCUACUGGAUGGAAACUUCAUCUGUCCCUCCCCACUUUUUUUAAAACAAAAACCUUGGAGGCAUCUCCUGGUCCUUCGUGUCCUGCACCAGUGCGGUGAAUGUUCUAGGAGUUUCAUUUCUUUACAGCCCUUCCUCCACCUAAUAAAGAUCUGAUCAUA